rnacentral:rRNA from 1 species
UACGAAGGGGGCUAGCGUUGCUCGGAAUCACUGGGCGUAAAGGGUGCGUAGGCGGGUCUUUAAGUCAGGGGUGAAAUCCUGGAGCUCAACUCCAGAACUGCCUUUGAUACUGAAGAUCUUGAGUUCGGGAGAGGUGAGUGGAACUGCGAGUGUAGAGGUGAAAUUCGUAGAUAUUCGCAAGAACACCAGUGGCGAAGGCGGCUCACUGGCCCGAUACUGACGUGAGGCACGAAAGCGUGGGGGAGCAAACAGGG